rnacentral:rRNA from 1 species
UAGGGAAUCUUCGGCAAUGGACGAAAGUCUGACCGAGCAACGCCGCGUGAGUGAAGAAGGUUUUCGGAUCGUAAAACUCUGUUGUUAGAGAAGAACAAGGACGUUAGUAACUGAACGUCCCCUGACGGUAUCUAACCAGAAAGCCACGGCUAACUACGUGCCAGCAGCCGCGGUAAUACGUAGGUGGCAAGCGUUGUCCGGAUUUAUUGGGCGUAAAGCGAGCGCAGGCGGUUUCUUAAGUCUGAUGUGAAAGCCCCCGGCUCAACCGGGGAGGGUCAGUGGAAACUGGGAGACUUGAGAGCAGAAGAGGAGGGUGGAAUUCCAUGUGUAGCGGUGAAAUGCGUAGAUAUAUGGAGGAACACCAGUGGCGAAGGCGGCUCUCUGGUCUGUAACUGACGCUGAGGCUCGACAGCGUGGGGAGCAAACAGG